AUGGAGGCGGCGAGCAGCACCAUGCUGAAGCCGGCCUACUCCACGCCUCACCCUCUUGCCGGCGAGAUGGUCCCGCUGACCCUCUUCGACCGCGCCACCUUGGACAUCUUUGUCCCCCUCAUCCUCGUGUACCCCGCACCGACUCCGUCCAACGAGGCGCUCAAGGAGGGCCUGCGCAGGGCCGUCGCGGUGUACCCGCACCUGGCCGGACGCCUCGCCGUCGACCACCGGAGCAGGCGUUUCAUCCACGUCAACAACGAGGGCGUGCUUGUCGUAGAGGCCGCCGUCCCCGUUGAUCUGGCGAGCGCGCUCACCGACGGCAGUUUCGUCACCAACACCGAUGGACUGUACCCUGCAGUGCCGCCGCCGGAGGAGAGCGUCGGGGCGGCCCUUCUACAGAUACAGCUCAACCGGUACAAGUGCGGCGGCCUCGCGAUCGGCUUCAGCAGCCACCACCAGGCCGCCGACGGCUACUCCGUUAGCAGCUUCCUCUCCACGUGGGCUAGCGCGGUACGCCAAGGCUGGAGCUUCACCGCCCCGUCCCCUUUCCUCGAUCGCGGCGCGACCGCCGUUCCUCGGGCUGUGCCAACGCCGGUGUUCGACCACAGGUCCACCGAGUUCAAGGGACAAGGCGGCAGGUCGUACCCUGUCGUCUGCGAUCCCAUGUCCUCCAAGAUCAAGAACGUAACGGUGCGCUUUACGGCGGAAUUCAUCGCCGAGCUCAAGGCCCGCGUGGGAAUCCGGUGUAGCACAUUCCAAUGCCUGCUCGCGCACGCGUGGAAGAAGACCACGGCGGCGCGCGGCCUGAAACCCGAGGAGUUCACGCAGGUCAGGGUGGCCGUGAACUGCCGGGCCAGGGCCAACCCACCUGCGCCGCCGGAAUUCUUUGGGAACAUGGUGCUCUGGGCGUUCCCGAGGCUUCAGGCCCGGGACGUCCUGGGCUGGACCUAUCGCGGCGUGGUCGAGGCCAUCCGCGACGCCGUCGCCCGCGUGGACGCCGAGUACAUCCAGUCGUUCGUAGACUUCGGCAUCGUAGACGCCAACGGGGAGGAGCUCGUGGCGACGGCGGCGGCCAACGGCACAAUGUUCUGUCCAGACCUGGAGGUGGACAGCAGCCUGGGUUUCAGGUUCAAUCAGAUUGACUUCGGCACUGGGCCGCCCUCCGCGUUCGUCACGCCGGACCUGCCCAACGAAGGCCUCAUGAUCUUCUUGCCGUCGUGCGCGGCCAGUGGUGGCGUCGACCUCAUCAUGGCCAUCCCGGAGGAUCACGAUGCGGCGACCUUCUACUCCUUGGAUGAAAGAGCUAAACCAAAGAUGUAA
rnacentral:rRNA from 1 species